UACAGAGGUCCCAAGCGUUGUUCGGAUUCACUGGGCGUAAAGGGUGCGUAGGUGGUGAGGUAAGUCGGAUGUGAAAUCUCCGAGCUCAACUCGGAAAUGGCAUUGGAAACUACCUUGCUAGAGGGUUGGAGGGGGGACUGGAAUACUUGGUGUAGCAGUGAAAUGCGUAGAUAUCAAGUGGAACACCAGUGGCGAAGGCGAGUCCCUGGACAACACCUGACACUGAGGCACGAAAGCUAGGGGAGCAAACAGG
rnacentral:rRNA from 1 species